CUGGGAAUUUGAAAAGUAAAGAAGAACAUCUCUAGGCCUCCAUUAUGGUUUAUUGCUUGAGCCUGAAUAUCAGUAGACAUAACAGUGAAAGCCUUCUUUUAUUAUCUCACAUCCCAAGCACAUUAAGGCCUGGAUCCUUAAUUGAAUUCUAAACAUCAAAGCUACUGCAAAAGUUGCUGUGUCUCGUGGCAUCUCAAGAUAUUUGAAGAAUCUCAAUAAAGCUUUCCUUCCUGGUUUAUUCUAUGUACACCUUCCUGGUAUUAUCAAUAAGAUUAUAAUUC